rnacentral:lncRNA from 1 species
UUAAGGAUAAGAGACUGUCUUGAUAUUUUCAGUGUAAAACUUGAUUUUAUUUUUUCUUUCAGGCUACCCCUAGUGGUUGGUCCUUGCCUAUUAAGGCUAUGGCCAGAUCCCCACCCCUUUGGGCCAUUUGUGUAUCUAUAUUUUGUCAGUCUUAUGCUGUUAACAUCAUGGGGUUAAUGUUGCCAACCCUGAUCAAGAAUAUGUUUGAUUUUGACCUCAGAAAUGUUUUCCUGGUCUUCUGAACCUGACUGAGGAGAACCACAAAGAAGAGUUGCAUGCUUGAUUAAGAGACUCUUAAGGUUGGAAGGAACUUCAGAAGCCAUCCUGAACAAGAAUCCUUCUCUACAACAUACAUAAUGAGUUAUCAUCUAGCCUUUAAUUGAAGAUCUCUAGGUAGCUAGGAAAUGCAGUGGACAGAGUGCUAGCUUUGAAGUCCAGAAAUCCCAAGCUCAAAUCAGACCUCAGACACCUCCUGGCUGUAUGAUCCUGGGCAAGACAUUGCCUCAAUUUUCUCAUCUAAAAAUGGAUGUAAGAAUGGUACCUACCUCUCAGGUGGUUGUGAGGAUCAAAUAAAAUAACAUAUUUAAAGCA